CCGGUGCUUCACGUGGCAGAUGCCACAUUUGCAGGUCCAGAGAGGUGAUGUGAGGCACUGGCGCAGGUGAAGCCUGAGCAGAAUCCCAAAGUUGGAACUUGGGCUUAUUUACGCUCUAUCAGUUUAUGCCUCACGUAUUUUGAUGCUCCAUUGUUGGGUGCCCACACAAGGAUUAUCCUGUUUUCCUGGAGUAAAGACCCUAUGAUCACUUGGACUAAUGAGGGACAUAAAAGGCAGCCACUGGUGCAGCCAGCCCAGGCCUGAAGCACCAGCGGAGAGAAGGGCUCAUCAGCAGAAUGUCCAGUCAUCGGAGCCGAGAUGAGGGAUGGCACCAGGAGCCUAGGGGAGGCCCAGGAGGAGACACCGAGCUCAAGAAAAUCCAAGACGAGACCACUCCCUCCUGGCUGGACAGGCAGAGGAGAAGACCUCCACUGAAGAAGCUCCUCACUCCAUAAAGCUGGGUCCUAUUUUGCUGUUUUGCAAGAUCCCUGAACAGCUAGGGCUGCGCACACCCUGGUUUAGGCAGCAGGAGCAACUUAGUACUUGGAGUUCAUCAGAAACACUCAGUGCAAAGGAACUUUCAUGGAACUACCAAGGUCACCCCAAUAACAACACAGGAGGUUCUGGGCCAUGUACAGGGCAGAGAUACAAACACCAUGCAUGCCUUCACCAUACUGAUGUUACCUGGUUAACAUCUUCAGAAGGACCA